rnacentral:rRNA from 1 species
CCUGAUCCAGCCAUGCCGCGUGAGUGAUGAAGGCCCUAGGGUUGUAAAGCUCUUUCAACGGUGAAGAUAAUGACGGUAACCGUAGAAGAAGCCCCGGCUAACUUCGUGCCAGCAGCCGCGGGAAUACUAAGGGGGCUAGCGUUGUUCGGAAUUACUGGGCGUAAAGCGCACGUAAGCGGACUUUCAAGUCGGGGGUGAAAUCCCGGGGCUCAACCCCGGAACUGCCUUUGAGACUGGACCUCUUGACUCCGAUAGAGGUGGGUGGAAUUCCAUGUGUAGAGGUGAAAUUCAAUGAUAUUCGGAGGA